CCUUAUGUUAAAGCAGGAGUUGCAGUGACUGACUUCUUUUGUGUCCUUGGAACACUUCUGGAAAAAUGUCCGUUAAAUAAAUUGGCCAAAGGUGCUCCUCUUAGGUGGGACUGCUUGCUUUGAUGCCAUCCCAUUGUCUAUCCAGCAGCCAGCUGUAAUCUGUUUACAGCAUUGGGAGAGAUGGACUUCAGGGAAACGUCUUUCUACUGUCUAUUCAGUUGUCAUUUGGAAAAAGCUAUUUGUACAUGUUGUCAUUUCAGUACAACAUUGUGACUGCAACCAGGUCUGGCUGUGCGUUAGUGCUCUUCCUCUCACUGGCAGCUCCUGCACUUGGCUCCCAGCACCAGGCUGUGGCAGGACUUGGACUCCAGUGGCUGGAGUUUGGGCUCCAGCUCUUUUUCGUUUGGACUAAGUAUCCUAAUUCCAGCUUGCUGUUUGUGUAAUGAGUUUCAUUAUUGCUUCCGCAUCACUAUGAAGAAAUAAUAUUCAGACUGACUUUUUUUUUUGCACCGACAGAUGGUGAAUAACUGAGCCUAAUGAGGGGAAUAAGUUGGAGCAUGGUGGUAGUGUCAAAGGGGGAUUACUGGAAGUCUAUCUUGUAUAAGCUGAGAAUGCAACAAACAUAAAUUGCAGCCAAAGUUUAUUGCUAGAUGGUUUUCUUACUCAACUUGUUUCACACUGCCUGUUUGCCAACAUUUUUGCAACUGUCCUCAUUACUGAAGGUAAAUCAAUGCAAUUCAUGUGUGGUUAUGUGUCCAUGGCAAAAAAAAAAAAAAAAAAAAGGGCAAAACCAAAAAACCAACCAACCAAAAAAAAAAAAACCAGCUUUAAAAUCCUCCUUUUAUGAUAGAUGUUUCUUUCUUAGCUCUGUUUUAGUAUUUCCCUUCCUGGAUUUCAAAUUUUCUCCUUUUUCCCAAAAGUGAUAGGAAUUGAAUUAAAUCUUUUAUUUUUUGUUAUUCAUGUCAUAUACAGAAAUGUUUGUCAAGUGUUGCUGUAGCUGACUGGUGAACAGAGAACACUUAAUUGUACUUUGCCUCUGUCUGUUCUUGGUAGAUUAUGGUUGUGCAUGCAUCCCCAAGCCUGGCAGUUGGCCUAACUUAGGUUUAGGACCCAUUGUAUCUAGAGGUAUUCAGGGCUGGCAUUUGGCCAGGCCCAUUUUAAUUGCAGCUUCUCUCAGGCUCUUUCUUGGGGUUUGGCUUUUCUGUUUGCCCUGCUCGCCAGUUGUGUGGCUGGAGGGGCACGGAGGAGUGCAGUGUUCCCAAAGCAGUGAAUGCUAGGAGUGCAUCACAGGCAGCUCCGUCACUGCAGUUGAGACACUCAGGAACCACCUCUUAUCAUCUGUCUGGGUAAAACCUUUGACACUUGGUGCCUCUGCCUUCUUUGGACUGUAGAUCAUAAAGGAGUGGGUUCAAGAAAAUGAUAAGGAAAAUGUCCUCGGAACCCGUAAUCUUUGUCCUUGGGAUAGAUUUCUGUUUGUAAGAUUAUGGCACGAAGUCAGGCUUAGGCUCCUGAGAGGGCUUAAACUUUUCUUUGUCAGAGGAUGAAUUCUUGAUUUGUUUCACUAUUGGAGGAUAAAGAUUUGCAGAAUGCAAAUGCUGCAACAGAUAACUGAAACUUAGCGAAAAAAAUGUGAUUAUGUGCUUCUAAUGUCAUAAGAAACAAAUGUUUGGGAGAAAAAUAAAAGUUGACGUUGUGAGC
ensembl:lncRNA